rnacentral:rRNA from 1 species
AUGAACGCUAGCUACAGGCUUAACACAUGCAAGUCGAGGGGCAGCAUGGUCUUAGCUUGCUAAGGCCGAUGGCGACCGGCGCACGGGUGAGUAACACGUAUCCAACCUGCCGUCUACUCUUGGACAGCCUUCUGAAAGGAAGAUUAAUACAAGAUGGCAUCAUGAGUCCGCAUGUUCACAUGAUUAAAGGUAUUCCGGUAGACGAUGGGGAUGCGUUCCAUUAGAUAGUAGGCGGGGUAACGGCCCACCUAGUCUUCGAUGGAUAGGGGUUCUGAGAGGAAGGUCCCCCACAUUGGAACUGAGACACGGUCCAAACUCCUACGGGAGGCAGCAGUGAGGAAUAUUGGUCAAUGGGCGAGAGCCUGAACCAGCCAAGUAGCGUGAAGGAUGACUGCCCUAUGGGUUGUAAACUUCUUUUAUAAAGGAAUAAAGUCGGGUAUGCAUACCCGUUUGCAUGUACUUUAUGAAUAAGGAUCGGCUAACUCCGUGCCAGCAGCCGCGGUAAUACGGAGGAUCCGAGCGUUAUCCGGAUUUAUUGGGUUUAAAGGGAGCGUAGAUGGAUGUUUAAGUCAGUUGUGAAAGUUUGCGGCUCAACCGUAAAAUUGCAGUUGAUACUGGAUAUCUUGAGUGCAGUUGAGGCAGGCGGAAUUCGUGGUGUAGCGGUGAAAUGCUUAGAUAUCACGAAGAACUCCGAUUGCGAAGGCAGCCUGCUAAGUUGCAACUGACAUUGAGGCUCGAAAGUGUGGGUAUCAAACAGGAUUAGAUACCCUGGUAGUCCACACGGUAAACGAUGAAUACUCGCUGUUUGCGAUAUACUGCAAGCGGCCAAGCGAAAGCGUUAAGUAUUCCACCUGGGGAGUACGCCGGCAACGGUGAAACUCAAAGGAAUUGACGGGGGCCCGCACAAGCGGAGGAACAUGUGGUUUAAUUCGAUGAUACGCGAGGAACCUUACCCGGGCUUAAAUUGCAGAUGAAUUACGGUGAAAGCCGUAAGCCGCAAGGCAUCUGUGAAGGUGCUGCAUGGUUGUCGUCAGCUCGUGCCGUGAGGUGUCGGGUUAAGUCCCAUAACGAGCGCAACCCCUACCGUUAGUUGCCAUCAGGUCAAGCUGGGCACUCUGGCGGGACUGCCGGUGUAAGCCGAGAGGAAGGUGGGGAUGACGUCAAAUCAGCACGGCCCUUACGUCCGGGGCUACACACGUGUUACAAUGGGGGGUACAGAGGGCCGCUACCACGCGAGUGGAUGCCAAUCCCCAAAACCUCUCUCAGUUCGGACUGGAGUCUGCAACCCGACUCCACGAAGCUGGAUUCGCUAGUAAUCGCGCAUCAGCCACGGCGCGGUGAAUACGUUCCCGGGCCUUGUACACACCGCCCGUCAAGCCAUGGGAGCCGGGGGUACCUGAAGUGCGUAACCGCGAGGAGCGCCCUAGGGUAAAACUGGUGACUGGGGCU